UACGAAGGGGGCGAGCGUUGUUCGGAAUUACUGGGCGUAAAGGGCUCGUAGGCGGCCCCUUUUGUCGCGUGUGAAAGCCCCGGGCUCAACCUGGGAGGUGCGCGCGAAACGGGGGGGCUUGAGUUCGGGAGAGGAGAGUGGAAUUCCCAGUGUAGAGGUGAAAUUCGUAGAUAUUGGGAAGAACACCGGUGGCGAAGGCGGCUCUCUGGACCGAGACUGACGCUGAGGCGCGAAAGCGUGGGGAGCAAACAGG
rnacentral:rRNA from 1 species